UUAUUAUAUGUAGUACAUGUGUUUAAGUGUUUGAAUAUUUAAUUGGGUUUAUGAUUAUAUAGAAAGACCCUAGGCUUGUGUAAUACUAUUUGUGGAAUUUGAAUUGACCUAAGAGAAAAGUUUUAAAUAUCACCCCCUAUUGGGAAUACGCCAAUUCUAAUAAUUGGUAUUAGAGCCUCGUUACACUAAACUUAAAUUUUUUUGUAAAAGAUCGUAAUGGCUCAAUUUGGUGUAUCCCUAUUCGGUGAGGGACAGUUACCUACUAGCCCUCCACUGUUUUGUGGUGUAAACUACACCCACUAAAAAAUUAGAAUGAGUAUUUUUAUAAAAUCAAUGGAUUGGAGGGCUUAGCAGGUGAUUUUUUGAGUAACUUGUAUGCAAACGAAUGAAAAUGAUACUACUUUAGUGCAUGCAAAUUCAUAUGCCAUGGAGAUUUUAUAUUGUGCUAUAGAUGCUCAUAUUUUUCAUGAAAUUAUGGCAUGUAAAAAUAUGAGGGAUAUCUGAGAGAAGCUUGAAAAGAAAUAUGGAGAGUCCUAGGAGAAGGAUACUUCAAUUGUGUCAAGUUCAAAUGAUCUGGAAGUGGUAAAUCACGGGUUUAGUGCACUCAUAGAACAUGAGGGCUCAUAUAUAAGAAAGCAAGGUCAAAGUGCUCAUAAGGAUCAAAUGAAGCUUAAAUGAGUCAAAGCAUGGAUUUAAAGAUGAUAUAUUAAACCUUGAAGAUUAUGAGGACAUGAAUGAGUUGUUGAAAGCCAAGGAAUAUUAAAGUCAAAAGAUCCAAAGAAAGGCAAAGUGAGAAAGCUCAAAGAAUAUGAAAGCUUGAAGAAAAUAUGGACUCAAUCCAAGGACAAAGCAUGAAGACUCAAGAACCUAGAAUGUUAAUGUCUUAGAAGUCUCAUGUUAGUGCUUUAAUGUUUAAAAUAUUGUUUGAAAUAUUUUGAAGCUCUUAGGUUAGCUUCUUGGACCUAGAUACCUUUUAAUAUACUUGGAAAAUAUUUUUUUAAGGUCAAAAAUUAUUUUAAAAAGGUUAGAAUCA